rnacentral:rRNA from 1 species
UACGGAGGAUGCGAGCGUUAUCCGGAUUUAUUGGGUUUAAAGGGUGCGCAGGCGGCACGGCAAGCCGGCGGUCAAAUCGCGGGGCUCAACCCCGCCCAGCCGUCGGAACUGCCGGGCUAGAGUGGGCGAGAAGUGCGCGGAAUGCGUGGUGUAGCGGUGAAAUGCAUAGGUAUCACGCAGAACUCCGAUUGCGAAGGCAGCGCACCGGCGCCCUACUGACGCUCAGGCACGAAAGCGUGGGUAUCGAACAGG